UGGGGAAUAUUGCGCAAUGGGCGAAAGCCUGACGCAGCGACGCCGCGUGAGGGAUGAAGGUUUUCGGAUCGUAAACCUCUGUCAGAAGGGAAGAAACCGCACUGUGCUAAUCAGCAGAGCCUUGACGGUACCUUCAAAGGAAGCACCGGCUAACUCCGUGCCAGCAGCCGCGGUAAUACGGAGGGUGCAAGCGUUAAUCGGAAUUACUGGGCGUAAAGCGCACGUAGGCUGCUUUGUAAGUCAGGGGUGAAAUCCCACGGCUCAACCGUGGAACUGCCUUUGAUACUGCUUAGCUUGAAUCCGGGAGAGGGUGGCGGAAUUCCAGGUGUAGGAGUGAAAUCCGUAGAUAUCUGGAGGAACAUCAGUGGCGAAGGCGGCCACCUGGACCGGUAUUGACGCUGAGGUGCGAAAGCGUGGGGAGCAAACAGG
rnacentral:rRNA from 1 species